rnacentral:rRNA from 1 species
GACGAACGCUGGCGGCGUGCUUAACACAUGCAAGUCGAACGGUGAACCUCUUCGGAGGGGAUCAGUGGCGAACGGGUGGGUAACACGUGGGCAACCUGCCCCCGGCUCUGGGAUAACUCCAAGAAAUUGGGGCUAAUACCGGAUGUUCACCGCUUCCCGCAUGGGUGGUGGUGGAAAGGGUUUCCGGCUGGGGAUGGGCCCGCGGCCUAUCAGCUUGUUGGUUGGGUAGUGGCCUACCAAGGCGGCGACGGGUAGGCGGCCUGGGAGGGUGAACGGGCACAAUGGGACUGAGGCAGGGGCCAGAGUGCAACGGGAGGCAGCAGGCGGGAAUAUUGCGCAACGGGGGGGAGCCUGAGGAGACGGCGGCGGGUGGGGGAAGACGGCCUUCGGGUUGGAAACCGCAUUAAGCAGGGACGAAGCGGAAGUGACGGUACCCGCAGAAGAAGCACCGGCCAACUACGUG